GACGGAGGGUGCAAGCGUUAUCCGGAAUUAUUGGGCGUAAAGCGUCCGCAGGUGGCUGUUCAAGUCUGCUGUCAAAGCGCAGAGCUUAACUCUGUACAGGCGGUGGAAACUGCAGAGCUAGAGUAUGGUAGGGGUAGAGGGAAUUCCCGGUGUAGCGGUGAAAUGCGUAGAUAUCGGGAAGAACACCAGUGGCGAAAGCGCUCUACUGGGCCAUAACUGACACUGAGGGACGAAAGCUAGGGGAGCGAAAGGG
rnacentral:rRNA from 1 species